GGGUGAGUAACGCGUAUCCAACCCGCCCACCACUUGGGGAUAACCUUGCGAAAGUAAGACUAAUACCCAAUGACGUCUCUAGAAGGCAUCUGAAAGAGAUUAAAGAUUUAUCGGUGAUGGAUGGGGAUGCGUCUGAUUAGCUUGUUGGCGGGGUAACGGCCCACCAAGGCAACGAUCAGUAGGGGUUCUGAGAGGAAGGUCCCCCACAUUGGAACUGAGACACGGUCCAAACUCCUACGGGAGGCAGCAGUGAGGAAUAUUGGUCAAUGGACGAGAGUCUGAACCAGCCAAGUAGCGUGCAGGAAGACGGCCCUAUGGGUUGUAAACUGCUUUUAUAAGGGAAUAAAGUGAGUCUCGUGAGACUUUUUGCAUGUACCUUAUGAAUAAGGACCGGCUAAUUCCGUGCCAGCAGCCGCGGUAAUACGGAAGGUCCGGGCGUUAUCCGGAUUUAUUGGGUUUAAAGGGAGCGUAGGCCGGAGAUUAAGCGUGUUGUGAAAUGUAGACGCUCAACGUCUGCACUGCAGCGCGAACUGGUUUCCUUGAGUACGCACAAAGUGGGCGGAAUUCGUGGUGUAGCGGUGAAAUGCUUAGAUAUCACGAAGAACUCCGAUUGCGAAGGCAGCUCACUGGAGCGCAACUGACGCUGAAGCUCGAAAGUGCGGGUAUCGAACAGGAUUAGAUACCCUGGUAGUCCGCACGGUAAACGAUGGAUGCCCGCUGUUGGUCUGAAUAGGUCAGCGGCCAAG
rnacentral:rRNA from 1 species